rnacentral:rRNA from 1 species
AUGGCUUCCCUGGCGGCGAGAUCCGGCCUCCGCUCGCUGGCGGCGCGCGCCAGGGCCCCGGCCACGGGCGGACGCCGCAUGUCCUCCUCCGCCCACGACGACGCCUAUGAGACGGCCAAGUGGGAGAAGAUCACCAUCAUGGGGGCCGUCACCUGCACCCUCCUGGCGGCCUGGAACCUCUCCAAGGGUCACCCCCACUUCGACGAGCCGCCGGCCUACCCAUACCUGCACAUCCGCAACAAGGAGUUCCCCUGGGGACCCAAUGGCCUGUUUGAGGUCAAGCACGACCAUUGA